rnacentral:rRNA from 1 species
GUGUCAGCAGCCGCGGUAAUACCGGCAGCUCAAGUGGUAGCCGCGAUUAUUGGGCCUAAAACGUUCGUAGCCGGAUAAGUAAGUCUUUGGUUAAAUCCUGCGACUCAACCGUGGGAAUUCUAGAGAUACUGCUUGUCUUGAGACCGGGAGAGGUUGGAGGUACUCCUAGGGUAGGGGUGAAAUCCUGUAAUCCUAGGGGGACCACCUGUGGCGAAGGCGUCCAACUGGAACGGGUCUGACGGUGAGGGACGAAACCUAGGGGAGCGAGCCGGAUUAGAUACCCGGGUAGUCCUAGGCGUAAAUGAUGCGAGUUAAGUGUGGGGGCAUCUACGAGAUGGCCCUGUGCUGUAGGGUAGCCGUUAAACUCGCUGCCUGGGGAGUACGGUCGCAAGGCUGAAACUCAAAGAAAUUGACGG